rnacentral:rRNA from 1 species
AUUGAACGCUGGCGGCAGGCCUAACACAUGCAAGUCGCACGAGUGGCGGACGGGUGAGUAAUGUCUGGGAAACUGCCUGAUGGCGGGGAAUAACUACUGGAACCGGUCGCUAAUACCGCAUACCAUCAGAUGUGCCCAGAUGGGAUUAGCGUGUUGGUGGGGUAACGGCUCCCCAAGGCGACGAUCCCUAGCUGGUCUGAGAGGAUGACCAGUGACACUGGAACUGAGACACGGUCCAGAUGCCUACGGGAGGCAGCAGUGGGGAAUAUUGCACAAUGGGCGCAAGCCUGAUGCAGCCAUGGCGCGUGUAUGAAGAAGGCCUUCUGGUUGGAAAGUACUUUCAGCGGGGAGGCGUUACCCGCAUAAGAAGCACCGGCUAACUCCGUGCCAGCAGCCGCGGUAAUAC